GAGUUUGAUCGUGGCUCAGAUUGAACGCUGGCGGCGUGCCUAACACAUGCAAGUCGAGCGGUAACAGGUGUAGCAAUACAUGCUGACGAGCGGCGGACGGGUGAGUAACGCUUGGGAAUCUGCCUGUUAGUGGGGGACAACCCGGGGAAACUCGGGCUAAUACCGCAUACGCACUACGGUGGAAAGCCGGGGACCGCAAGGCCUGGCGCUAACAGAUGAGCCCAAGUCGGAUUAGCUAGUUGGUAGGGUAACGGCCUACCAAGGCGACGAUCCGUAACUGGUCUGAGAGGACGACCAGUCACACCGGAACUGAGACACGGUCCGGACUCCUACGGGAGGCAGCAGUGGGGAAUAUUGGACAAUGGGCGAAAGCCUGAUCCAGCGACGCCGCGUGGGUGAAGAAGGCCUGCGGGUUGUAAAGCCCUUUCGGUGGGGAAGAAAGCCUCGAGUUAACACCUCGGGGUCUUGACGUAACCCAUAGAAGAAGCACCGGCUAACUCUGUGCCAGCAGCCGCGGUAAC
rnacentral:rRNA from 1 species